GAUGAACGCUAGCGGGAGGCCUAACACAUGCGAGCCGAGCGGUAUUUGUUCUUCGGAACAGAGAGAGCGGCGCACGGGUGCGGAACACGUGUGCAACCUGCCUUUAUCUGGGGGAUAGCCUUUCGAAAGGAAGAUUAAUACCCCAUAAUAUAUUGAGUGGCAUCAUUUGAUAUUGAAAACUCCGGUGGAUAGAGAUGGGCACGCGCAAGAUUAGAUAGUUGGUGAGGUAACGGCUCACCAAGUCAAUGAUCUUUAGGGGGCCUGAGAGGGUGAUCCCCCACACUGGUACUGAGACACGGACCAGACUCCUACGGGAGGCAGCAGUGAGGAAUAUUGGACAAUGGGUUAGCGCCUGAUCCAGCCAUCCCGCGUGAAGGACGACGGCCCUAUGGGUUGUAAACUUCUUUUGGAUAGGGAUAAACCUACUCUCGUGAGAGUAGCUGAAGGUACUAUACGAAUAAGCACCGGCUAACUCCGUG
rnacentral:rRNA from 1 species